ensembl:lncRNA
GAUCUCCUUGGCUACGUUUAGAAAUAAAGAUUCAAUAUAAGUACAGAAUGUGAUUUGCAUAAUGAGAAAGAUAUUUGUGUUGUCGUGGCACUAGAACAGCACUGUGCCACUGAAUAAUGCUAUUUACCAUUCACGACUGAGGACAAGUUGGGAGCACGGUCGUCCUCCAAUCACAGGGUUGGCAGUCCGAUCCCAGGCCUGCCUAAUCCGUAUGUCGAUGUGUCCUUGACAAUGAACCCCAACAUUGUUCCUGUAGCUGCGACUACAGUGUGUGAAUGUUAGUUACUGAUGGGCAGGUGGCUCUGUGUAUGGUAGCUCCUGUCAUUUGUGUAUGAAUGGGUGAAUGAUGUCAUGUAGUGUUAAAGCGCUUUGAGUCGGAAGACUAGAAAAGCGCUGUAUUCAGCAUUCACCCUUUACUAAUGUAGUCGGUAUGUCACUCAAUGUAUUGACUUUUGUUUUAACACAUUAACAGCUGGGCCCUUCUGACGUGUACAGUUUUGUGAAUGGCUUGGCUUCGGUACAAGCAGAUCUGCUUGGGCACAUUGUUUUGGUUUACAUGCAGAUGCCAGGAAAAGAUGUCUAUGAGAACCCAUUCCGACAUAGGCGGAUAAACUACUUUAGAGCUAUUGAAAUUAUUAGCCAUAUCAGAACCAUUGUAUAUAGGUCUACAUACAUGUGUGUGUAUAAUAAAUAUAUAUAUACUUACUUUACUCAGCCACUGAGGUGUGUGUAACUCUGCAAUGAGUUUAUUAUUCCAGAUGUGUUUUGAGAAGACAACUAACAAACUCAUCCAGCUGAGGAAACUGGCUACCAUUAUGGUGGCAAAUCAGUCAAACACGUGAAUUCAUUGGCAAGUGACAGAGAUGCGAGAUGUGAUAAUCAGUUUAACCUGUCAUGGCUGCCACACAGAGUGCACGGGAACCGUUAUCUACUUGGGACGAGGACGCUCAGAAUAACAUAAGGCAUUGAGUUCUUCAGCGUUUCUUCUUCAAGCUCAUGUGACAAUAGAUUCCAGCAUACGCCUUCACACUCCCAGAGACUUGUUUACCACAAGAAUUAGAUUCUGAUAACAUAUUCUCAAACUCUACGAAUGUAAUUACUAUUGACUAUGAUGUACCACUGAGUCUGAUAAAAAAAAAAGUCAAACAAGCCCCACUAUGAAAUGUAAUAAAUGAACUCCAUCAGCUUCUUUUACAAUUCUGUUUGUCUGCAACAUGGAACCAGCUGCUUUGAAGAAUGCCCACGCUCAGAGAAGAGUGAUCCAUCCAUCACAGUCAAGAGGGAACCAAUGCAUCACAUCCGCUGCAGGAGAAGGGAUGUUGUGGUUCACCAAAAAAAUACCACAUAGCAAAUAUUCAUUUAAAUCCAGUCAAGCUUUGGCUGGUUUAUAGAAGGAAGCUGUAUCCAAUCAUUAGUCAUUCAGUUGUUUGGUGCCAUUGGUGAAGAGUCAUAAGGGAAUUUUAUUAUAUAAAACUUCCCUUUUUACUGAGAAAGUAGUCCCAAGAUUGUCAAAAGCAUCUACUUUGGGUCUUGUUUCAACUCAUUACUUGCUCUCCCUGACCUGAGCUGAGGGUAUGACUCAUAAGUGUGUAUCAACUUAUAAUAUGACUGCACAGGCGUUCAAAGAAAUGUAAACGUUCUAAAAUCACAUCAUAAAUUGCAGUCAGCGGGCUUUACACACACAGCAUCUUCUGUCCUGGACCUUCACAACGACCCAGGAAAAACUCCCACCAGAUAGGAGGAGAAUCCGGAAACAGGAAUAUUUGUUACAAAAAUAUGUUAGACAUACAAGGAAUUUGACUUUGCGGUUAGUGCAUAACAUCAGACAGUAAGACAAUGGACAACCAGACAGAUGAGACAUAGUGUCUAUAUAAUCAUAAAUGCCCCUUUCCUUUGACGUUCAGCCAAUCCUCACUCUUUUAUGCUCUAGCCAUUUUGGUUCCUGAGUGGCUAAGGAAAAUGUCGACAGUUCUGCGUGAGUUUAGUGGUAUCUAAUAGGAUAAAGCAAUUAGAAAAAGUGGUUGAAACAGGCAAAUCAGCCACAUUUUGACUGCUACCGUUUCCAGGCCGGAAAUGUUUUUUAACGGGGAUUAAUCGGAUUAUGCGCAGAAUUCAAUGAUGAAGUAGCAUGGUGAAAGGUGGGGAGCACACUUUCAACAGCAGACAGAUUAGUAUAUAGUAUUUAUUGGACACAUGUCUUUGGCCACAUUCAAUUGCAUACGCGCUAUGCAGGUGGCUUUUCUGGGUUGAUGUCAUAGGACAGCGAUUCAGUUAGGUAACGUUAGCUUUGGCCUUAAUGCAUUCAUUGUACUGUGCUUUGUGGCUGUUCUUCAGGUGGUUGAAGCAGUUAUUGUGUGUGGCCAGUGAAGCUGAGCCAAACUCUUUAUUUCUUCUUUCUUCGGGCUUCUUUGCCUUCUUCUCCUUCCGUACAAAAGUUUGGCACGCAUCUUCUCCCGCACCGUUGCUCGGAAUUGUCUCAACCUUUCAGCAAUUGUCGGAACCCAUUGGGAAUCGUGUCCUAUUAUUUGGCUAAGAGAAAUGACUUUUUCCCCAAAAAAGAACAUUUUGAGCUCCAAACUCCAAUUGGAAAAUCAGAGUUUUAAAAAAAAAGAGGAAAAAGAAAACGUGACCCUAACUGCUGGGGGGAAUUUUCUAGGUUGUAUUGCUAUGCGGCACAGACACAACUCUAACGCAGUCUGUGCAUAUAAUUUUAUCUUGAUUAACGUCACUUGCCCUGAAUCCCAAAAAUGUUUUGAGGGACUAGCUCCUUGCCUUAAGGUCGCUGGUCGUGCACGGUAAAAGGACAAGAAAAACGCCUGGUGACGCGUAGAUUACAAAACAAGUCAGUUCUCAAUGUGAAAAAAAACAUGCUGUAUAGGCUAUUUAUGAUGACGUAGGUAGUACAUGAGUGUUCCUUUAACUUAUGUUGUCAGUGUAAUUGACAGGCUGCUUAACUGGUUAACUCUUAAAUUCAACAUAUUUUUUCAGGCAGUGAUAGGACAGGCAAUGAUGCAGAGAGCACAGGGAGAGGAGAAACACCAGGUCCAAUAGAGAGAGAAGCACAGAGGAGCCAUGAACCACAGAACACGCGUUCUGUGGUUCAUGGCUCCUCUGUGCAAGGCAGGACCUGACGUGGAGGACAAGGAGGCCCUCUGGGCACUACUGUAAAAAGGAGACUCCAUAUGUAGAUAGUUCUUAAUCUGCAAUUGUGUUGUUGUGUUGUGUUGACAUACUUUUCUUCACUGUUUUCAUAGAUUUAAUGAACUACAAACUACUAACACAUUUAUUCAUUGUCAUUGAUUGUAUAUGACUUUUACUGAUAACAUAA